ensembl:lncRNA
GUGAAGAGAUAUAUAGAUGAAUAGAAGUAGAUGGGUUGGUAGAGAGAUAGAUAAGUAGAAAUGGAUAGUCGAUGGGUGAAGAGAUGGAUAGGUAGAUGAAUAGAAGUAGAUGGGUAGGUAGACAGCGUAUGGAUGGCUGGAUAGGUAGGUGGAUGGAUAGAAGUAGAUGGGUUGGCAGAGAGAUAAACUUUGUAUUCUUUUGUCAAAAUGUAAUUUGAUCCAUCUCGUAAACAAUUUUCCUUUUCAGAUGACAUCAUGAAGACCUCUCAUUUUUCAACCCUUCCCUCCAACCAUCGGCCAUGUUCACAGAAUCAAUUAAGCAGGGAAGGGAAGGGAUCUCUGGGAAGACUGCGGGUUCGGAGAGGCCUUGAGCCCGAGCUUUGGACACCGUGGAGGUGGGAUAUCCAGUAGAUAUGAAUAAACGGGUUGAGGAGGAUGAAAGCUGUUCGGCAGAUAAAGCCAUAGCAGCCUGUCGGAAUCCUGCCACGCUGGUCCUGAUUUAUGGCCAUCUCAGUCGGACUCCCUACCAAAUCCACCCGCUGCCUUUCUUGUUCAGUGGAGAUGCCUAUGCUUGAGCUGAUAGGAUGUGGUCUGGUUCGUCACACUGAACCUGAGGACACAGCUGAUGCCUCCGAGUAGCACUCUGAUGUUCCCAGUUCCUCAUCUCUCACACAGCAUUAAAAAGUCUGGAUAAAAGUGACCCUAGAUGCCACACACAGUCACAGCGGCUCUGAAGCACCCCGCUGAGAGCUCAGAUGUCAGAGGUCGGCCUUCACCAUCAUAACCUCUACAGAAGUGUCUUCCGGUCUUUCACAGCUCUGACCUCAGUGUACUGGACCCCGCAGAUGCAUGUGACCUUCCCAUGAAGUGCAUUUGGAGAAGUCACACCGUGCUGCCACCAGUUCGGUUCUUGGAAAGCACGCCUCAAAAUUCAAUCACACACGAGCACCAUCCAGGCACCCAACUCCACCCCCUUGUUGACUUGAUUAAGAGUGCCGUGCAGGCAGAUGUAAAGGGCUGUCAGAGAGGAAUGUCAGGGAGUGAGAGCGGGGACAGUGUCCCAGCAGGCCAUGUCUUGGCUGGGGAGGGUUACAGUGGCUGGCUGCCCGCCUGCU